UAGUCCCUACGGGGCGCAGCAGUGGGGAAUAUUGCACAAUGGGGGAAACCCUGAUGCAGCGACGCCGCGUGAAGGAAGAAGUAUUUCGGUAUGUAAACUUCUAUCAGCAGGGAAGAAAGUGACGGUACCUGACUAAGAAGCCCCGGCUAACUACGUGCCAGCAGCCGCGGUAAUACGUAGGGGGCAAGCGUUAUCCGGAUUUAUUGGGUUUAAAGGGUGCGCAGGCGGUCUGUUAAGUCAGCGGUCAAAGCCCGGGGCUCAACCCCGGCCCGCCGUUGAAACUGGCAGUCUCGAGUUGGAGAGAA
rnacentral:rRNA from 1 species